UACGUAGGGUCCGAGCGUUGUCCGGAGUUACUGGGCGUAAAGCGCGCGCAGGCGGCGGUGCUGGCCCGGCGUGAAAGCCCCCGGCUCAACCGGGGGAGAGUCGUCGGGGACCGCACGCUUGAGGGCGGUAGGGGCUGGUGGAAUGCCUGGUGUAGUGGUGAAAUGCGUAGAGAUCAGGCAGAACACCUGGGGCGAAGGCGGC
rnacentral:rRNA from 1 species